rnacentral:lncRNA from 1 species
AUGGAGCAGAGGGGGAAGGGCAGGCUGUGCAGACCUGCUUUCAGGGUCACCUCGGGCCGCUUUACAGAGCCCUGGGCCUGCUCUCACAGCUAUUCCUUAAGGGGUGGGGGGUGGGGGGUCCCGAAGGCCGGAAGAGAGCCACGGCCACCACCUCUCACCAGAACCCACUCUAGACUCUUCACAGGCAGAAAGGGCCCAGUGCGUCCCGACACAACGCAGUCCCCAGCCCCGACCCCCAGCCUCAGAAACCCGCAGGGCAGGGCCGCAGGGCCCAGUCCAGCCAGUGUCUGGCCUGCACCCGCCUGCGGCUCCACCAAGGCUGGCAGCCUUCCCAGAAGAGGUCCUUUCUUUCACUGGUCCCCAGCGCAGAGGGCGCCUGCUAACCAGAUGUCCCCCCUCAGGGAGGGGGUUCAGGGAGGCCAAGAGUUUGGGGCCUUUCCCCAAGUGUGGAUCCGUCAGCGGCCGGGUCUGACCCAGCACAGGGCACCAAGAACUGGCAUCCCGUGCUCCCCAACGCCGCCCCCCCCCGCCCCCGGCCGGCCCUGCCCGUCUGCUUCUUUUCCCGUGCUGCCUUCCCACCCUGCCUGCCCACAGUCUCCUGCUCUGCUCUGUCUCAUUUCAAGGAAAAUUCCUACGUGCGCCAGGGAGGUGGUCAGACACGGAGGCACAGCCUGGCCCACAGCCGUCCUGGACGGGCCCAGAUGCCUGGCCGGACUGCACCAGUGCCGUCCACAGCUGGAGACGGGGUUGAUGCCAGGGGCCUCUGGGCAGGCCAGGGACACCCCAGUGGGUGGUGGGGGGGGCCUCUGCCCAUACCCAGCCUGCUCUGAGCCCAGUUCUGGGAAGGGCACACAGGCAAGGAUGGGGGCUUCAUGGGGCCCAGGGGCCACUCCCAUCUCCAGCUGCCCAGGCACUGCUCAUUGUAACCUGGGAGAGGACCCAGAGACAAAGGUGCCCCCAGAGGGCUCAAGAGCUCCCACUCCUGCUCCCAACACUGAGCAACCCCCCCCAAACCCCUGAGGCAAGAAGACAGAGGUCAGAGGUCAUGGGCUGCAGCAGCAGAAGAUGGAUUGCUGGGCUUAGGGAGGAGGAAAGGAGCCAGUGUGCCCACUUCUGCACGUCCCCAGUUAAGCACAGAACUGUCCCUGCCAGCCCAAGGAAGCCUGGGCAGGGCCCCAGGAACCCCGAAUCCUGGGCCCUGUGAGACUGGCUCCUUGGGCUGCCCCAAGGGCAUAGAAGGAAGCACCCGUUCAGGCUCGGAUGGUCCUUUUCCAAAACCUUCUCCGAGUGGGCAGGUGACCCCUCCUCCCACUGUGUGAGGGUCCGGAGGUGGCCAGGGUCUGUCCAUGCUGCCUUGUCUCAUUGGCUUUAGGAGAAGGCAGGUUUCAGCAGGUAGAACCGGGAGGAAAAUCAUCGCCCUCGGCCCACAUGGUAGUUCCGGCACCAAGACAGAGCCCCCCGGAGGCCAUCGUUCCCAUGCGGGGUCUCAGGGCUCAGGCAGAGACGAGGCUGCUUCCCAAACACCCAUUUGUCUCUCCCGUGGAUGGGCAGGCAGAGUGGCCCCGAGCGGUCAGCAGAGCGUGGGGACCACAGCAGAAGGGAAACUUUCUAUUCUUCCUUCCCUUUGCAAGUUGUCACCUCUCCCCCAGGGCCCUAGAGCCUCAGCCACCUCAGGUUCAGGAACAGGGACACGCGAGGGGCCGGCCCCUGGAGACAAGAACACCGUGGCAAGCCCACGUCCGGCGAGGAUGCCCGGCGGCAUGACUGUAUCUACGAAAUUCUUUUCAUCUUUGUUUUGAUGGAUGAAGUUCAAUGCCAGAAUAUUUGGUUUGUGAGUCAUGCUAAUUACAGCUGGGAGGGGAGGGCAGGAGGCACCAGGAAGAACAACAGAAAGAAGCGUGUUCCAAAAACAUCAUGCUGAGCUGGUUGCCCUGAAUAGAGAGGCUACAUCCCCGGAAAGAAGAGGGCGCUGCCUGUGCACUUCCUGCGGCCUCGUGCGUCGGCCUUCUCAGCACCCACC